ensembl:lncRNA
GAGCACGGAGCAGGAGGCUAACCUGAUUAGGAGGGACAGGAGCAGUUCCAUGGAGGUCUGGAAACCUGAGCUCCGCCUGAGCCGGUAUCUGCUGCCACUCAGGACUGUGCUCUGAACUUGUAAGGGAAGACAGAGAUCACACCGCACGGCCUCUCUGCUCUGAUGGACAUGGAGCAUGAAGGUAAGAAGCCGCACCUUGGACCACUGUGUUGGACAUGGCACAGGUCUCAAGAUCACAAUAAUGUCCAUUCUUCAGGAACCAGCUAGAACUCCACCUCCUCCAAGAAGCCCUCCCUGACUUGGAACCCUUCUUGGGGACCCUGAGAACUCAUCCUAGCAACUACAGAUCCAAAAGCCUCCUGCAGACUGGUCUCUGGGCACCCUGCUGUGGCUCGGCGAAGGGGGCUGACAGGGGACACGGGUGGCCUCAGGUUUCCAGAGUCCACUUUCCUUCCGCACCCCUUGCAUCCUGUCAGCUUUCUGAUCAGAGCCUGACUCUGGAGCAUUCUCUCUGCCUUGGCCUCCGGGCCUACAACCUCCAGACCCCACUGGGCUCUCAGCGUAAACAGAAGCGAGGAGAAUAAUAAGGGUCGCAGGCCUUAGCAGGAGCUGGUGAUUACAGGAGGCGGAAUACAAACAAGGCCUUCACAGAGCCAGGUCUGAGGGCGCCCUGCUCUGCUCUCCACAUCCCCAGAACUUCCCAGGGCCCCCACUCUGCACCCCCAGCCCCUCAGGGGUGGGUCCUGC